GGUUAUUGACUAACAUGAAACAAAAUGGGACAACAAUGAGAAAAAUAAUCACUACCAAGCUCUAAUCCCCCAGUGCGCUCCAGAGUUCUUCCAUGGCUUAUUAAUUUGCGGUAUCAUAGAAAAAAUCUCAUUGACUCUUUCUGAAAGGAGAUGGCUCUUCAAUGUGUGGACAGGAGAAUAUUCAAGAAAACCUAAUGAAUCCUUCUAGGUCUCACUCCUGCUGAAAACCCAGGACCAAACCCUUUAAUUCUGGCAAUUUUGACUCUUCAUGUAACUUCUUACGUCCUUUUUGCCUUAAAAAACAACAACAAACCAAGGGCCCAAAUGAAGCCUGUGCUGCAGUCUGAGCCAAUUAUUUUUUAAGCUUGCACAUAUUUGCUAACAACUCAUCCAUUA